UGCGCCUCGAGGCAAAUAACACAAAUGCAGGGCAAAGGGUAAUUACUGUGUGCGAGCAACAUGAAGUGCGCUUCAUUGGUGUGUCUUCUCAACUAAUGUUUGGUAGGCCAUAGCCCAAGUACCUAUAUAGUAAGCAGUUGCGUACUGAAAUUUAGAGCUGUGCUUCUGACUACUAUUCGUGCAAUGAUCACCAUAUACAAGAUUCUACCAUUUCUUGGUGUCAGGAGUGGCAGAUGACUCUAAAUGCCCAAAGUAAUGCUAACAGAAAUUAAAUAUUUUUGCACCCUUGGCCCGCCUAACAAUGAGGAUUCAGCGGAAGAGCCAUUCGCCCAAUAAAUGCCUAGAACAUGAAAAACUGUAUAAACUACAGCACUGUGGUACGUGGAAGUUUCGCAGGGCUGGAGAAGGUGCCCUGGCUUCAAAUCACUUCUGACUAGCAGCAGACAUCUAACACAACGCGACCAAAAAGAAAAAAGAAAAAAUGAAGAAACAGAGAUAUUCUACCGAAAUGCAUUAAAAUCACUUGCUUUGGGCAGGUUGACAGCGCUCUCUCAUUGUUUCUCAAGUAUUACACAAAUAAAAUACAAUAAACACAUGCACAAACAGCAGAACUUACUAUUUAAUGACUCAACUCGCACAACUCUAUGGAAGCUGC